rnacentral:rRNA from 1 species
AGAGUUUGAUCCUGGCUCAGGACGAACGCUGGCGGCGUGCUUAACACAUGCAAGUCGAACGAAAAUACCAAGCUUGCUUGGUUGAUUAGUGGCGAACGGGUGAGUAACACGUGAGUAACCUGCCCCUUACUUUCCUGGAUAACUGCUCGAAAGGGUAGCUAAUACGGGAUAUUCUGACCAUCCUGCAUGGGUUGGUUUGGAAAGGUUUUUUCUGGUAAGGGAUGGGCUCGCGGCCUAUCAGCUUGUUGGUGGGGUGAUGGCCUACCAAGGCUUUGACGGGUAGCCGGCCUGAGAGGGUGACCGGUCACAUUGGGACUGAGAUACGGCCCAGACUCCUACGGGAGGCAGCAGUGGGGAAUAUUGCACAAUGGGCGCAAGCCUGAUGCAGCGACGCCGCGUGAGGGAUGAAGGCCUUCGGGUUGUAAACCUCUUUCGUCAGGGAACAAGGCACUGUCUUUUUGGUGGUGUUGAGGGUACCUGGAUAAGAAGCGCCGGCUAACUACGUGCCAGCAGCCGCGGUAAUACGUAGGGCGCGAGCGUUGUCCGGAAUUAUUGGGCGUAAAGAGCUCGUAGGCGGCUGGUCGCGUCUGUCGUGAAAACUUCCGGCUCAACCGGGGGCUUGCGGUGGGUACGGGCCGGCUAGAGUGCGGUAGGGGUAACUGGAACUCCUGGUGUAGCGGUGGAAUGCGCAGAUAUCAGGAAGAACACCGAUGGCGAAGGCAGGUUACUGGGCCGUUACUGACGCUGAGGAGCGAAAGCGUGGGGAGCGAACAGGAUUAGAUACCCUGGUAGUCCACGCCGUAAACGUUGGGCACUAGGUGUGGGGGGCCUUUUCCGGGUUUUCCGCGCCGUAGCUAACGCAUUAAGUGCCCCGCCUGGGGAGUACGGCCGCA